rnacentral:lncRNA from 1 species
UAAACUAAAUAAAUAAGAACCACUAAGAGUACCAAAAACCAAAAGUCUCAUAUUUUGCAUAUUAAAACCAUGUUUUCUCAAUGACACAACGCAGGCUUGAUUGAUCACCUAUUUCUUCUUCACAGCGGACUUGGUGACCUUGGCUCCUGUUGGGUCCUUCUUCUCCACACUCUUGAUAACACCAACAGCAACGGUUUGACGCAUAUCACGGACAGCAAAUCGACCCAAUGGUGGGUAUGUAGAGAAGGUCUCCACAACCAUGGGUUUGGUUGGAAUCAUCUUAACCAUACCGGCAUCUCCAUUCUUCAAGAACUUGGGCUCCUUCUCAAGCUCCUUAGCAGAUCGACGAUCGAUUUUGGUGAGGAUCUCAGCGAACUUAACAGCAAUGUGGGAAGUGUGGCAAUCAAGGACUGGAGCAUAACCAUUACCAAUCUGACCAGGGUGGUUCAUGAUGAUAACCUGAGAUGUAAAGUUAGCAGCUUCCUUGGCAGGGUCAUCCUUGGAGUUUGAGGCAACGAAACCACGCUUGAGAUCCUUGACAGCAACGUUCUUGACGUUGAAGCCAACAUUGUCACCUGGCAAAGCUUCUGGGAGAGACUCGUGGUGCAUUUCAACAGACUUAACUUCAGUGGUCAGUCCAGUUGGUCCGAAGGUAACAACCAUACCAGGCUUGAGGACACCAGUUUCAACACGUCCAACAGGGACAGUUCCAAUACCACCAAUCUUGUAAACGUCCUGAAGUGGGAGACGGAGGGGCUUGUCUGAGGGCCUCUUGGGCUCAGAGAUCAAGUCAAGAGCCUCAAGAAGGGUUGGUCCCUUGUACCAAUCAAGGUUGGUGGACCUCUCAAUCAUGUUGUCACCCUCGAAACCAGAGAUGGGAACGAAGGGGAUUUUGUCUGGGUUGUAUCCGACCUUCUUGAGGUAUGAUGAGACUUCCUUCACAAUUUCAUCGUACCUUGCCUUGGAGUAUUUGGGUGUGGUGGCAUCCAUCUACAGAAGACAACAAUGAAAGGCAACACAAAGAUACAUUAGAAAUUGGAUUAACUCAUGGCAAAAUUUGAAUGCUAUAUGAAAAUUUUAAUUAAUAAACUAGAAAGUUAAAACAGUAAGAAAUGGAAUAUCGAACACUCUAUUAACAACUAAGAAUAUUAAAUGUUGCAUUAUUAGCAAAGUAUCAGUGUCUAUUAUAUGGGGAGAGAGGGGGAUUUGAACCCCCAUUGAUUCUUCGAAAAGAACCACACCAGUUUUAGGACCGGAGCCAACACCCAAAUGGCCAUUCUCUCCUCGUGAAAACAGAAUUUAAUGACUAAUAAAGUGAACACAAAUCAUAGUCAGGACAAUGAUAAAUAAGUCCAUAGAUGCCAACAAAUAGCCACAUUGCAUCUUCACUAUGAAUGUGACCCUCUAUCAGAUUGAUAACAUGUAUUAUAUUGUCGAAUUUAACAACUAUUAAAUGCAUAAAGAAACUCAAACAUGCAAGAACGUAAUAUAAAAAAUGAAUGAAUGUAUAACAACCUUGUUGCAG